AGAGUGUUUCGUGUCCUGGCGUCAAGGACGACGCUGGCGGCGUGCUUAACACAUGCAAGUCGAACGGAAGGCCCUGCUUUUGUGGGGUGCUCGAGUGGCGAACGGGUGAGUAACACGUGAGUAACCUGCCCUUGACUUUGGGAUAACUUCAGGAAACUGGGGCUAAUACCGGGAUAGGAGCUCCUGCUGCAUGGUGGGGUUGGAAAGUUUCGGCGGUUGGGGAUGGACUCGCGGCUUAUCAGCUUGUUGUGGGGUAGUGGCUUACCAAGGCUUUGACGGGUAGCCGGCCUGAGAGGGUGACCGGCCACAUUGGGACUGAGAUACGGCCCAGACUCCUACGGGAGGCAGCAGUGGGGAAUAUUGCACAAUGGGCGGAAGCCUGAUGCAGCAACGCCGCGUGCGGGAUGACGGCCUUCGGGUUGUAAACCGCUUUCGCCUGUGACGAAGCGUGAGUGACGGUAAUGGGUAAAAAAGCACCGGCUAACUACGUG
rnacentral:rRNA from 1 species